UACGGGGGGCGCAAGCGUUGUUCGGAUUUACUGGGCGUAAAGAGCGCGUAGGCGGCGUGACAAGUCACUUGUGAAAUCUCCGGGCUUAACUCGGAACGGUCAAGUGAUACUGUCGUGCUAGAGUACAGAAGGGGCAACUGGAAUUCUCGGUGUAGCGGUGAAAUGCGUAGAUAUCGAGAGGAACACCGGCGGCGAAGGCGGGUUGCUGGGCUGAUACUGACGCUGAGGCGCGAAAGCCAGGGGAGCGAACGGG
rnacentral:rRNA from 1 species